AGCCACGGCAAGGUUUUUAACCCAAACCCGCGGGCCCCACUCCCGGCCCCGCCGCCGGACUCACUGCGCCAGCUGCUCCUGCGCUACGGCCCGGCGGCUCAGGUAGCGGCCACGCUCCACCUCCGCCUCCCGCCCAGCGGCGUCCGGCCCAUCGCGCUCCAUCGCCGGCCCUCUUCGCCGCCUCUGUGGAGACGGGACGUCUGCCGAAGGAGAAGAAGAGAUGCUCACCGACGGCUCUGCUUCCCGGGAAGUCGGGGCUCCUUCUCCCGCCCCGCUCACAGGCCGCAGCAGCCGAGGCGGGCGCUGUGCCGCCAAAGACGGAGCGGCAGCGUGCCCCGCCCCGGGAGCUGCCGGCGCGCCGCCUCCGCCCCGUCACUCGCGGAGCGAGGGGAGGAAGCGAGCCGCCCCCCAGCCCGGGGGCCGGACCUUCCUCCGCGGCCGAUUCCUGAGCGCCUCGUUUCCCUGCGGAGCGCACGUACCCGGAAUUCAUCCUUGCCUUGCCUGGAAGAGACUCCUCGAGGAGGUGACUGCUGCACCCGAGAAGGGCAGCACCCCCCUUACACCCAGCGUUGCCUCCGGGGUAGCCUCGCAUCUUCCUCGGAGCCCUGUGCUUUUCCCAGGGCCUGGCUGCUAAGGAACUUGAGGACACACCACAUUAAAAAACUAAAAUAUUGGCAAGUGUCUUUUUUUUUUUUUUUUAAGGACUUGUAUUAUUUUCUGAUCUGGCCAGCAGAGACUGGCAGCUGUGGGGUGCAGCAAAGCAGAGUUUCUUGGACUUUGCUUCCAGCGGCCACCAGGAUAGAGGAUACCCUGUUUAAAGCCCAGGGUACUGGUGCAGAAAGUCAUUACAGGAACCCCUAAAUUCCAAGGCAAGGAAAUUAAAGAAACCUAAGCUUAAGGAGGGAGACAUGUCUGUGCCUUGGGUGUUGGUGAGUAAAUCUGCUGAGGAAUCUGAGAUACAGUUUUAGAUCACAUCUAUUUACCUAUUUAAUAGAUUGCAUCUAUUUACAGACUAAACUGCUGUUAGUAUUUUUGAAAGAACAGCCCAACUAUGUUGUCUCGUGUUGAUGUGCUGAUUUUGUAGGCCCUAUUUACAGCUGUGUUGGGACCUAUUUGCCUCUUUGGUGACCUAUUAAGGGCUGGGAUCAAAUUACAUGAACAUUUUUAUGUAAUAAAACGGAUUUAUAGCAUGACA
rnacentral:lncRNA from 1 species